AAUUAAAGGAAGUGGUGAAAAGAACAAGAAGAAAAAGAAGGAGGAGGAGGCAGAGAAGAAGGAGAGUGUUCUAGUAUCAGAUACCCUGACAGCAACCAGGUGUGGGAACAACAGCAAGAGAGGUUUCAAUCUACACAUCAAAUGGGCAAUGCAGUAGGACAUUUUGGGAAGGACUCAAGAAACUGUGAAGAAUGGCUGCCUGUCUACUCCCAGAGAACUGAGAAACACAACCUGAAUCUAAUCAGACAAAUCCAAACUGACAAAGGGACAUUCUACAAAAUGAUUGGCCUGUCGUCUUCACGAGUGUCCUGAUCAUGAAAGUCAGAAACACCGAGGAAUUGUUACAGAUUGAAGAAGCCUAAGGAGAUGUGACAGGAAAUGCAAUACGUUAUUCUGAACAGGAGCUUUUUACUACAAACGACAAUCGGUGAUUGAAUGCGGUUUGGGCACUAGCUGUAGUAAAUUAUCAAUGUUAAUUUCCUGAUUUUAAUGGUUGUAUUGGAGCAUCUCGUCGGUAUCUUAUUGUCAAAUGAUUUUUUAAGUGUUCUUUGCACUGUAGUUGCAACUUUUUCCUCUAGGUUUUAGAUUACUUUCAUAUUUCAAAAGUAUUAAAAAACAAAGUAGACCAUGCCGUUAGUAUUUUAAAAUUCUAAGCCGAAUGCAAGUUAGAGUCCUAAGAUUUUAGAGCUGUGAUGCAUACUAUCUCCGCCUUCAAGGAGCUAAUGGAAGAACUGCGUGCACACAAUUUUGUUAAAAGGAAAAUGGUAGAGAUUUACCUCUGACUUUUCUGCAGGGGCAGCUUUCUAACUAAGCUUUCACAGCAGAGGCGCCCGCCCCCGCCCGGCCGGCUCUCGCUCUGCAGCCGGGAACCCGAGCCCGGCUGCGCCGCCGA